rnacentral:rRNA from 1 species
UUCCGGUUGAUCCUGCCGGACCCGACUGCUAUCGGAUUGAGAUUUAGCCAUGCGAGUCGAACGUCCCCCUGUUGCGGGGGGCGUGGCGUACGGCUCAGUAACACGUAGUCAACCUGCCCUAGAGACAUGGACAACCCCGGGAAACUGGGAUUAAUCCGUGAUAGGUCAUCUCAUCUGGAAGGAGAGAUGGCUUAAAGGGGUGCGAGAGCUUCUUUCUUGUACUCGCUCUAGGAUGGGACUGCGGCCGAUCAGGCUGUUGGUGGGGUAAUGGCCCACCAAACCUGUAACCGGUACGGGCCUUGAGAGAGGGGGCCCGGAGAUGGACACUGAGAGAAGGGUCCAGGUCCUACGGGGCGCAGAGGGCGCGAAACCUUCACAAUGCGCGAAAGCGUGAUGAGGUUAAUCCGAGUGGUUCCCGCUUAGGGAAUCUUUUGUCGACUCUAAAACGGUCGGUGAAUAAGGGGAGGGCAAGUCUGGUGUCAGCCGCCGCGGUAAUACCAGCUCCUCGAGUGGUCGGGGCGAUUAUUGGGCCUAAAGCAUCCGUAGCCUGUUCUGUAGGUCCGCUGUUAAAUCCAACGGCUUAACCGUUGGUCUGCAGCGGAUACCGCAGGACUAGGAGGCGGGAGAGGUGGACGGUACUCCACGUGUAGGGGUAAAAUCCUUUGAUCCGUGGAAGACCACCAGUGGCGAAGGCGGUCCACCAGAACGCGCUCGACGGUGAGGGAUGAAAGCUGGGGGAGCGAACCGGAUUAGGUACCCGGGUAGUCCCAGCCGUAAACGAUGCGAGCUAGAUGAUCCAAUCGCAAAUCGCGAUUGGAGUGUCGCAGGGAAGCCGUUAAGCUCGCCGCCUGGGGAGUACGGUCGCAAGACUGAAACUUAAAGGAAUUGGCGGG